rnacentral:rRNA from 1 species
GACGAACGCUGGCGGCGUGCUUAACACAUGCAAGUCGAACGCUGAAGCUCAGCUUUUGUUGGGUGGAUGAGUGGCGAACGGGUGAGUAACACGUGAGUAACCUGCCUCCUUCUUUGGGAUAACGCCCGGAAACGGGUGCUAAUACUGGAUAUUCACUGGUCUUCGCGUGGGGGUUGGUGGAAAGGGGUUUUCUGGUGGGGGAUGGGCUCGCGGCCUAUCAGCUUGUUGGUGGGGUGAUGGCCUACCAAAGCUUUGACGGGUAGCCGGGCUGAGGGGGUGACCGGUCACAUUGAGACGGAGAUACGGCCAAGAGUCCGACGCGAGGCAGCAGUGGGGAAUAUUGGACAAUGGGCGCAAGCCUGAUGCAGCGACGGCGCGUGAGGGAUGGAGGCCGUAGGGUUGUGAACCUCUUUAGCUCAUGGUCAAGCCGAAACAAUGGUUGUGGUGAGGGUAGUGGGUAAAGAAGCGCCGGCUAACUACGUG